rnacentral:tRNA from 1 species
AUUUAAAUAGCUUAAAUAGAGUAUAAUAUUGAAGAUAUUAGGGUGAUUAUAUUUAAUCUUUAAAUA